rnacentral:rRNA from 1 species
UACGGGGGGGGCAAGCGUUGUUCGGAAUUACUGGGCGUAAAGGGCUCGUAGGUGGCCAACUAAGUCGGACGUGAAAUCCCUCAGCUUAACUGGGGAACUGCGUCCGAUACUGGAUGGCUUGAGUUUGGGAGAGGGAUGCAGAAUUCCAGGUGUAGCGGUGAAAUGCGUAGAUAUCUGGAGGAAUACCGGUGGCGAAGGCGGCAUCCUGGACCGGCGUUGACGCUGAGGAGCGAAAGCUAGGGGAGCAAACGGG